CGCUCAACCUGAAGAGGAAGCUGACUGGAAAAGAUGGGCAAGGGGAGGAACAGGCUCUAUCCGUGGACAAACGCGCAGAGAGGAGGGAGCUCCCCUUGAACAGAUCGCCUCCCUCUGCAGGGUGCUCGGUCUUAGUGAAGUUUAAGACUUUGGGGCUAACCGUGGAGUGAGCAUCGCUGUCUGGUUGCGCAUCAAAGCGACCCCACCCCACAUUUGUCUGAUGCCCUGCGUGGUUGUACGGCGAAACAUCACCUGAACUCAGUCUGCGUCCGUCCUGCACGGAGAGGGAGGAGAUACAGUUAACCCUCCUGCUGCCAUGUUACGACGUUCAAAAAGGAAUAUAACUUAUUUAAAUUAACGCUUACAGGCGACACAACACAAGAACACAUUUAAA